CUAUUUAAAAUACAAUAAUUUCCAUCCAAUACCAGGAAUAACAGAUUUCAUUCCAACAAUCUGAAUUCACAUAAUUCCUGUAAUCACAGACUUCCUCUGUCCAAACACAUACAACUCUCAAUAAACAACAAUCAUAAUCUUCCAAUAACUCCUCAUAUAAUUCAAUCACUCAAUACUCCAAUUACAUAAUCAAUAAUUCAUAAAUUAAUCUCUGAUUUUUUCCACAGACUCACUUCUCAGUAUUCAAAAAUUAUGCAUUAGUCUAUAACAACAAAGAAACAAAGAGACAAAGAGGUAAAGAGGUAGCACUAAGCUUACCCCGACUCAUGACUAUCAGAGUCUGAUAC
rnacentral:lncRNA from 1 species